rnacentral:rRNA from 1 species
AACAGGAUUAGAUACCCUGGUAGUCACGCUGUAAACGAUAUCAACUAGCCGUUGGAUUCUUAAAGAAUUUUGUGGCGUAGCUAACGCGAUAAGUUGAUCGCCUGGGGAGUACGGUCGCAAGGCUAAAACUCAAAUGAAUUGACGGGGGCCCGCACAAGCGGUGGAGCAUGUGGUUUAAUUCGAUGCAACGCGAAGAACCUUACCUACUCUUGACAUCCAGAGAAUUUAGCAGAGAUGCUUUAGUGCCUUCGGGAACUCUGAGACAGGUGCUGCAUGGCUGUCGUCAGCUCGUGUUGUGAAAUGCUGGGUUAAGUCCCGCAACGAGCGCAACCCUUAUCCUUUGUUGCCAGCGCGUAAUGGCGGGAACUCAAAGGAGACUGCCGGUGAUAAACCGGAGGAAGGUGGGGAUGACGUCAAGUCAUCAUGGCCCUUACGAGUAGGGCUACACACGUGCUACAAUGGCGCAUACAAAGAGAAGCGACCUCGCGAGAGCAAGCGGACCUCAUAAAGUGCGUCGUAGUCCGGAUUGGAGUCUGCAACUCGACUCCAUGAAGUCGGAAUCGCUAGUAAUCGUAAAUCAGAAUGUUACGGUGAAUACGUUCCCGGGCCUUGUACACACCGCCCGUCACACCAUGGGAGUGGGUUGCAAAAGAAGUAGAUAGCUUAACCUUCGGGAGGGCGUUUACCACUUUGUGAUUCAUGACUGGGGUGAAGUCGUAACAAGGUAACCGUAGGGGAACCUGCGGCUGGAUCACCUCCUU